AGUGAACGCUGGCGGUAGGCCUAACACAUGCAAGUCGAACGGCAGCACAGUAAGAGCUUGCUCUUACGGGUGGCGAGUGGCGGACGGGUGAGGAAUACAUCGGAAUCUACUUUUUCGUGGGGGAUAACGUAGGGAAACUUACGCUAAUACCGCAUACGAUCUACGGGUGAAAGCAGGGGAUCUUCGGACCUUGCGCGAUUGAAUGAGCCGAUGUCGGAUUAGCUAGUUGGCGGGGUAAAGGCCCACCAAGGCGACGAUCCGUAGCUGGUCUGAGAGGAUGAUCAGCCACACUGGAACUGAGACACGGUCCAGACUCCUACGGGAGGCAGCAGUGGGGAAUAUUGGACAAUGGGCGCAAGCCUGAUCCAGCCAUACCGCGUGGGUGAAGAAGGCCUUCGGGUUGUAAAGCCCUUUUGUUGGGAAAGAAAAGCAGCAGGUUAAUACCCCGCUGUUCUGACGGUACCCAAAGAAUAAGCACCGGCUAACUUCGU
rnacentral:rRNA from 1 species